rnacentral:tRNA from 1 species
CGUGAUUAGCUCAGCUGGGAGAGCACCUCCCUUACAAGGAGGGGGUCGGCGGUUCGAUCCCGUCAUCACCCACCA